UGGUGGAGUGAUUUGUCUGGUUAAUUCCGUUAACGAACGAGACCUUAGCUUACUAAUUAGAUGUCAGUUGUGGCGAGCUUCGGUUCCUAUAACUCGACACCGUCUUUAUGACGGGGAAUUUUUCGAAAUUUCGCUUCUUAGAAGGACGUUUCUCAGCAAGGGAAAGGAAGUUUAAGGCAACAACA
rnacentral:rRNA from 1 species